GUUGCCUCGGCGGAUCAGCCCGCUCCCGGUAAAACGGGACGGCCCGCCAGAGGACCCCUAAACUCUGUUUCUAUAUGUAACUUCUGAGUAAAACCAUAAAUAAAUCAAAACUUUCAACAACGGAUCUCUUGGUUCUGGCAUCGAUGAAGAACGCAGCAAAAUGCGAUAAGUAAUGUGAAUUGCAGAAUUCAGUGAAUCAUCGAAUCUUUGAACGCACAUUGCGCCCGCCAGUAUUCUGGCGGGCAUGCCUGUUCGAGCGUCAUUUCAACCCUCAAGCCCUCGGGUUUGGUGUUGGGGAUCGGCGAGCCUUUCUGGCAAGCCGGCCCCGAAAUCUAGUGGCGGUCUCGCUGCAGCCUCCAUUGCGUAGUAGUAAAACCCUCGCAACUGGAACGCGGCGCGGCCAAGCCGUUAAACCCCCAACUUCUGAAUGUUGACCUCGGAUCAGGUAGGAAUACCCGCUGAACUUAAGCAUAUCAAUAAGCGG
rnacentral:rRNA from 1 species